GACGGAGGAUGCAAGUGUUAUCCGGAAUCACUGGGCGUAAAGCGUCUGUAGGUGGUUUGAAGAGUCCACUGUUAAAAAUUGAGGCUUAACCUCAAAGAUGCCGUGGAAACUUUCAAACUCGAGUAUGGUAGGGGUAGAGGGAAUUUCCAGUGGAGCGGUGAAAUGCGUAGAUAUUGGAAAGACCACCGAUGGCGAAGGCACUCUACUGGGCCAUUACUGACACUGAGAGACGAAAGCUAGGGGAGCAAACAGG
rnacentral:rRNA from 1 species